rnacentral:rRNA from 1 species
GUCCUUUAGGACAAUGGUAGGAGAGCGUUCUAAGGGCGUUGAAGCAUGAUCGCAAGGACAUGUGGAGCGCUUAGAAGUGAGAAUGCCGGUGUGAGUAGCGAAAGACGGGUGCGAAUCCCGUCCACCGAUUGACUAAGGUUUCCAGAGGAAGGCUCGUCCGCUCUGGGUUAGUCGGGUCCUAAGCUGAGGCCGACAGGCGUAAGCGAUGGAUAACAGGUUGAUAUUCCUGUACCACCAUG